UGAUUUUUAUUUUUAUCUAAACAUAUUUACUAGGAUUGGUAAUUCUAUUUUUGAGAGAUUUUAGCUUGAUUUUUUUAAACUUGUUUGUGGAUCCUUAUUCUUGGUAGAAGGAAAUUCAGACUUUACUAAUUUGUAUUUAUUUAUAUGUAAUAACAAGAAAAUGAGUAUUUUUCUCUUGGAGAUCACAUUUGCGUUUCCAGAACGUGGAGCACAAAAAUGGACCAUUUCUAGUUGAUAGGCACACCCACUAACAACUACUUUCGCGUUGUGGUUGUGUGUGAUGAUAUGAUUGA
rnacentral:lncRNA from 1 species